CUAGCUGUUUGCUUACAGGGACAAUAUUACCCUUAAAACCCGGUAAAGCAAAACUAAGUGCAGGGGAAUUCUGUGAAAAAUUAGUUUAUCUUACACAUCUAUCAGCUUCAAAUAGGGAAGAGCUGAUCUAUAUCUUAAUAAACAAGUAGAUACAGAGUAGCCGUUGUGAGCUUGUGGGCCGUUUGGCAUCUGUAAUCUAUCUAUGUUUUUAGGCAAAAUUGAUUUCUUAAAUUUCAUGAUGGAAGGAAUAUCAGGAGGUAUCUAUCAUCUCGAUACACUCACAAGUAUACUAGCAAGCAGCAACUACACCUCAUUGGAGCAAUGAGUAGCUUUUCUCUGGAACAAUUUCUAUGCAUAUGUACACAUCAUGGAAAAAGCUGCACAUAACCAGUUAAGAUUGCAAUUCCUAAGAUUAUAAUAGGCGGGAGGAUUACGAAAGCCCCAAUGGUUGCAAAGAAAACAGAGUCAUUCCUCUGAGAUACUUCAUCCAAGUAAGCUUGUCUUCUAAUGUUUCUCUUCUGUGAAAUAGUUAAGAACUUUGGACUCACCUUCUUCAGAUUUUUCCCCAGUGGAAUGCUGAAAUCUUCAUCCUCAUCUCUUUCUCCUACCAAUUGCACAAGCUGCUCUCGAAUAGUAAGUUUCCUGGAGCUACCAUCACUUUCGUACCCUGAUUAUCAAGAACAAGAAAUUGAUUUUUCAUAUCUAAUUCCAUUACUUGCCAAUGUUACAGUAAACUUGAUGAACAUACCAGCAGUAUCAGCUGAUGAUGGGGUGGUGGAUGUGAGCUGAUCCAAGAGAUCUAGCUGCGAGCGAGUAGAAGACAAUGACCCAGAAAAAGAAGAAGGAAGUUCUUGCUCGGUUACUCCACUUUCAGCACCUUCUGGUUUAGCAAAUAUUCUUCUACAAGAAGAGUAAAGCUUGUGCUGUGGGAUUAUUAGAAAGUGAGGAGUUGAGGGAGAAAAAGCACUGAAAUUUAAGGCCAUGGAAUGUAUAUAUUUUUCUGUGUUUUGGUAAAUUCCGGGAGCUUUGAAGCUUUCACUUCCAUGGCUUUGUGAGGCUAUA
rnacentral:misc_RNA from 1 species